GAUGAACGCUGGCGGCGUGCCUAAUACAUGCAAGUCGAGCGAACGGACGAGAAGCUUGCUUCUCUGAUGUUAGCGGCGGACGGGUGAGUAACACGUGGAUAACCUACCUAUAAGACUGGGAUAACUUCGGGAAACCGGAGCUAAUACCGGAUAAUAUUUUGAACCGCAUGGUUCAAAAGUGAAAGACGGUCUUGCUGUCACUUAUAGAUGGAUCCGCGCUGCAUUAGCUAGUUGGUAAGGUAACGGCUUACCAAGGCAACGAUGCAUAGCCGACCUGAGAGGGUGAUCGGCCACACUGGGACUGAGUCACGGUCCAGACUCCUACGGGAGGCAGCAGUAGGGAAUCUUCCGCAAUGGGCGAAAGCCUGACGGAGCAACGCCGCGUGAGUGAUGAAGGUCUUCGGAUCGUAAAACUCUGUUAUUAGGGAAGAACAUAUGUGUAAGUAACUGUGCACAUCUUGACGGUACCUAAUCAGAAAGCCACGGCUAACUACGUG
rnacentral:rRNA from 1 species